rnacentral:lncRNA from 1 species
GAUUUUCCAGGCAAAAGUACUGGAGUGGGGUGCCAUUGCCUUCUCCAUGUCCUAGCUAUUGUAAAUAGUGUUGCAGUGAAUAUUGGGGUACAUGUGUCUUUUUCAAUUAUGGCUUCCUCAGGGUAUAUGCCCAGUAGUGGGAUUGUUAGGCCAUAUGGUAGUUUUAUUUGGUGGGAAUGUAAAUUGAUAUAGCCGUUAUGGAGCAUGGUAUAGAGAUUCCUUAAAAAACUAGAGCUGAGAUUCUUGAUGGGAGUGAGGCAGGUUGUCAGCUUUUGAGGCAAAAGAAUGGAGAGCAGCAUCUCACUUUCUCAAAAAGGAGCCCUAGACUUUUGUUGUACUACCCUCUGUGAUUAUGCAUCCAUAUGUCCCAAGGCCAAGACUUGGAGAGGAAUCAGCAACGUGUUUUCUCAGGGGUGGUUCAGCAGCUCUGUCCUGUCGUCAAGGAUGGAUGUCCUCACUGUGGUGUCAACGUCUCCAUCUGUGGCCAGCAGAUGGCUGCAGCAGCUGCAAGGACCACAUCCUUUCAUGGCAACUUCCAGGAGCACCUUGAGAGUGGGGGGCUCUCUACAUGGGUGUCUCCUCCCUUAUCAUGAAGGCAGUUGCAUCCUCGCCAUCUGCCAGCACGUCCUUUACAUCUCAUCAGCCAGGACUGGGUCGAGCGGCCAUCUCCAGCCAGAAGAGCAGUUAGGAAAAUUGGUAACUGGUGCUUCCUGCCACCAGAAUGGAAGCAGACAUACCAAGGGAAAUAGAUCUGUCAAUGGCUGGCACAUGGUCAGCCAAGAGCCAUUUUUAAUUCGAGGUCUUUUGAGCUUCUGUAUAAAUUUUAAGAUUAUUUAUUCUAAUUCUGUGGAAAAUGUCAUGGGUAUUUUGAUAGGGAUCGCAUUAAAUUUGCAGAUUGUUUUGGGUAGUAUGGCUGUGUUAACAAUAGUAAUCCUUCAAAUACAAGAGCAUGAGUUAUCUUUCCAUUUCUUUAAAUCAUAUUAA